UUUUUUUUUUUUUAUUUGGAAACCGCAUUUAACUAAGUAUGUAAGAACUGAGUUAAUAUGAGAGGCUUAAGAGAUCCACCUAAGAGGCAUUUUCAAACACGACAUGGUCUUCAUAGCAGAUAAGCUAUAGUAUGUCAAACGAAAUAAGGUCUGGAAUAGGAAUCCAAGUCAUUACUACUAAGUAGAUCCAGCAGAAUUAGGGAAUGGGCAGUUACUCUCUAGCUGAUUGCAGUUACUGCAUUGAUAGUAAUGCAUAGGGGUUGCACUAAUUCAAGCAUAAGCCAUAAUCUCAUGUUUUUCUUACUAUGCCUAUCAGUCAUCCUGCUGGUCUAUUAAUGCUGGCAGAUGUACUUUUGUAUUAUAUAAUGUAUUUACUUUAUCCUGAAACAUUCUCCCCAAUAAAAAAUAAACACAGAAAGCUUUAGAACUUGCUUCGAGCUGCACAGUGCACAAAUUUUACAGCUAUUCCUUUUGUUUUUCAACUUUUUUUUUUUUUUUUUUUUGGCCAUAUGAUAAACCUGUAUUUUCCAGUCUUGGCUUUCUAGCAGUGAAAUUAUAUACUUCUCUAUCUUUUCUUUUAGAAUGAUAAGUGCAGCAUUAGGAGCAAGUUUUAGUAUAAUUAUAUAUAUAAGUAUAAUUUGAUCAUAAAGGAUUUAUUGAGAAAGUCUAAACACCCCAAAUCUUCUUGGAGCUAUUCCAUUCCAGUAUUUUCCAAAAUUUUCAGUAGCCUGUGGAUAAAUAAAUUAAAAAAUAUCUGGCAUUCCAAUUUUAUUUCAUCCAUAUAAGGUACUCAUACAUUUCUCAGAAAUGUAUGGAUUGACCCUCUCUGUGUCUACAUAAAAUUUACCCCAGAGAGGUUUUGGACUCCCCAUCCCUGAUUGUGUUUGAGACCACGCUGGAUGGGGCUUUGAGCAACCUGAUCUAGUGUGUACCCACGCAUGGCAAGAGGGUUGGAACCAGAUGACCUUUAGGGUCCCUUGCAACCCAAACCAUUCUAUGAUUCCACUCCCAAUCAUGUAUAUUUUAAUAAAGACAACACAUCUACACAAUCUAUAUUAAAGCACUAGGAACUAUGUGCAUAGUUGAGAUUUUUUGAGAGUUGAUCUUUACAGCCAUAGACUCUCAAGUCCCAAAUCAAAGUUCAGCAGUCAAUGAGAUCUUCAACUUAAUUCAGAGUACUUGCCUUUAAACAGAUUACUUGACUUGCAUAUUAUGGUGGCUGACACAAUGAGAACAUGGAAUAGAAUGGAAUAUUUCAGUUGGAAGGGACCAACAAUGGCAUGUAGUCCAACUGCCUGAUCUACUCAGGGCUGACUGAAAGUUCAAGUGUGUUGUUAAGGGCAUAGUCCAAAUGCCCCUUAAACAUAGUCAGACUUGGGGGCUGACCUCCUACGAACCCUGUUCCAGCAUUUGCCCACCCUCUUGGUAAAGAAAUGUUUCCUAAUGUCUCCUUCUUUACCUCCUUGCUUUGACUUCUGCAAAUGCUUGUGUGGGAUGCCUUGCUUUCCUUUGUAAGUUAAAGAACAGACUAAGACAUCUAGGUAGAAAAGGAAAACAACAGAUAAAGACAACUUGGAUAAAUUAAAUGUUCUAAAUUAUGUCAGCCUGCUAGAACCUGUAACCAUUCUCUACUAGUACUCUAUUAAGAAAGCAAAUGUUUCAUUUGCUCUCUAAAUAAGGAACAUGUAAGUUAAAUAAGAGAGGAAUUGUCAAGCACACCAAUGGAAAAAAGGGAGAGUUCAAAAUUCAGGGAUUCAGGAAAGGUAGUUAUUUGCCUUUUAACUACUACUACUCCUCUACUACCAAUAACAACAACAACAACAGUAAUAGUAAGUAUUCCUAAGCAUCUAUACAUAGCCAAGAGGAAAUUAUCAAGAAAAUGGAGCCAGACUCCUCAGAUUGCUGUAUGUGACUGGAGAAAUCUGAAGAAUCAGCAUAACUGCAAAUUUUCAAGGUCAGAUUGACCAAAUAUCUAUCAAGACCUGAUUAGAUAGAGUGGAUUCUGCUCUGAAGCAAGAGGAUAAACUGGAAAGCCCUUCCAGAUCUCUUUUUAAAUGAUGUCUUAAGAAGCAUCUCCAUUGUCCUCAUUACUAAAUUGGCAUAAAAAAAUUAAAAAGUGUACCAGUGUCACCUCUCCAAGUUUUCUUAAAUUAUGCCAAGUAUUUUUUUCUUUUCUACUUGUUAAACCCCU
rnacentral:lncRNA from 1 species